AUGAGAAAAAAAAUGAAAAUUGAUAUAAAGUUUGGUGUUCUUAAGUUCAAAGAGAUUAGACAAAGGUUGGAAAGUGUUAGUUUGGGAAAAUGUAAGAGCUUUAUGCAAAAAAAGGUUACCAAAUGGAAAAAAAAAUCAGACAUGGAAAUUUACCAAAAUGCUCAAUUCUGUUAUGAAAGAGCAAACAUGGAAGAAAACUCCGUUAGAAGAUUCCAGGAAGUCUUCCGAGAAGUCUUCCGGAGUCUGACCCAUAUCUGAAAAACAUGUAUAUUCAAACCUUGAUCUGAAAAACUUGCAUAUCCAAAAACGUUCAGAUGGCUUCAAAAAGAGAAAAUGACUGGUUGGAAGUUUUAAUGAGAAUCAUUAUAUUUUUGUUGCAGCCAUUUGAGAGGAAGAAAUAGAAUGUGUACAUUUUUUUUAUAUGGAAACAAAAUUUUUCUAUUUAGGUUAAAUAU
rnacentral:lncRNA from 1 species